rnacentral:rRNA from 1 species
GUAGUCUCGCACAGAUGCAUAUCAAUAAGCGGAGGAAAAGAAACUAACAAGGAUUCCCCUAGUAACGGCGAGUGAAGCGGGAAGAGCUCAAAUUUGAAAUCUUAAAGGGUUUCCCUUUACGAAUUGUAGUUUAAAGAAGUGUUUUCUGUUGAGGUUUUGGCUAAAAGUUCUUUGGAAUUAGGACAUCAUAGAGGGUGAGAAUCCCGUAUUUGACCUUUACUUUCAACUUUGUGAUACACUUUCAAAGAGUCGGAUUGCUUGGGAAUGCAGUCCAAAAUGGGUGGUAAAUUUCAUCUAAAGCUAAAUAUUGGCGAGAGACCGAUAGCGAACAAGUACCGUGAGGGAAAGAUGAAAAGAACUUUGAAAAGAGAGUUAAACAGUACGUGAAAUUGUCAAAAGGGAAGCGUUUGACACCAGUGUUGUUUUUCUGAAAAUCAAUUAAAGAACUGUUUAUGCUAAGCUGUUUAGACUUUAUCAGCUAACUGUUUAGUUUUGAGCUUUUCUUUAAUGCACUUUUCAGUUAACAAGUCAACAUCAAUUUCUUUUGCUGUAAAAAAGCUUGAGGAAGGUGGCUUGAGAUUCGUCUUAAGUGUUUAUAGCCUCUUGCCUAUGCAGUCGGAGAGAUUGAGGUCUGCAGCGUAGAUCCUUCGGGGCUAAAUGCAGUUUGUGCUAAGUUAUAGCAUUUUAUAGACAACUUGUUGACUAUGAUUUGUCUUGUAGCUUACUCGCUUAUGUUAUUUUACCUACGCUUAGGAUGUUGAACUCUAUCACACACAG